rnacentral:tRNA from 1 species
GGCGAGGUAGCUCAGAUGGUUAGAGCGUAGGAUUCAUAACCCUAAGGUCGGCGGUUCGAUCCCGCUCCUCGCUACCG